GCUCAGGAUGAACGCUAGCUACAGGCUUAACACAUGCAAGUCGAGGGGUAGCAGGGUAGCAAUACCGCUGACGACCGGCGCACGGGUGAGUAACACGUAUCCAACCUUCCCAUAACUCGGGGAUAGCCUUUCGAAAGAAAGAUUAAUACCCGAUAGUACUUAAGAAAGGCAUCUUUUUUAAGUUAAAGAUUUAUUGGUUAUGGAUGGGGAUGCGUUCCAUUAGAUAGUUGGUGAGGUAACGGCUCACCAAGUCUUCGAUGGAUAGGGGUUCUGAGAGGAAGGUCCCCCACAUUGGUACUGAGACACGGACCAAACUCCUACGGGAGGCAGCAGUGAGGAAUAUUGGUCAAUGGGCGAGAGCCUGAACCAGCCAAG
rnacentral:rRNA from 1 species